rnacentral:rRNA from 1 species
UACGAAGGGGGCUCGCGUUGUUCGGAAUCACUGGGCGUAAAGGGCGCGUAGGCGGCUUUAUAAGUCGGGGGUGAAAGCCUGUGGCUCAACCACAGAAUUGCCUUCGAUACUGUAGAGCUUGAGACCGGAAGAGGUAAGUGGAACUGCGAGUGUAGAGGUGAAAUUCGUAGAUAUUCGCAAGAACACCAGUGGCGAAGGCGGCUUACUGGUCCGGUUCUGACGCUGAGGCGCGAAAGCGUGGGGAGCAAACAGG